GGUCUGGGGACAUGAAGACCAAGAGACAGGGCCAGCGCAAGGAGAAGGUACACCAAUAAAAAGUGAUGCGUCUAUUCUUGUUCCCAUUUAUCCAACAAGCUAAAUGACUCCAGCAAGCAUUAGCAUCUGCCAUAGCACUUGCUUAGAUCAGGCAGGAGUCAAUAGUUUGCCAAAAGUUCAAUGAUACAUUCUGAAUGUGGUGUAUCAUUUACAGUCACUUUCUCUCUCAUGCCCCUUUCUCCAACACCCAUAAUUUUUUUCCCUUCCUUUUCUCUGGGAUUUCUUGCUAUUUGACAGCAAAGCAAAUGAGCUAUGCCCAGUGAAGAAUGAACACACGACUCUGGUUACCUGGCUUUGCUCGCUGCCUCUGUUUAAUCGCGUGUGACUUCCUGAGUAAUUGGAGAAGACGCUGGGUGUGAAGUGAGGAAUGUGCAGCUACUGCAGCUCUCUUGAUGACCUCCAUCGGCUUUGGAGAAGUUUGGAUUCAGAGAUACCACGAGACAGAGUUUCACCAUGCUACCCAGGCUGAUCUCAAAUGCCUGAGCUCAAGUGAUGUGCCUGCCUCAGCCACCCAAAAUACUAGGAUUACAGGAAUAAGCCACUGCACUUGACCUUGUUUUAGCCCUUUGAAUAUAUCAUCCUAUUUUCUCUUGGUCUGUAAGUUUUCUGCUGAGAAAUCUUCUGGUGGUCUAAUAUGAAUUUCUUCAUAUGUAGCUUGACACUCUUUUCUUGCUGUUUUUACAAUUUUGUUUUUGCUUUUGACUUUUGACAGUUUGACUGUAACAUGCCUUGGAGAGGACCUGCUUGGGUUAAAUCUAUUUGGGAAUCUUUGCCUUUUCUAGAUCUGGAGGUACCAACAUUUAAGAGUUUUCCAGCUGUUAUUUCAUUAAGUAGGUUUUCUAUGACUUUUCCCAACUUUUCUGCUUCUUGAAUCCCCAUAAUGCAAAUGUUCAUUUGCUAAAUAGUGUCCCAUAAGUCCUGUAGGCUUUCUUCAUUUAAAAAAAUUAUUCUUCUUCUUUUGUGUGUGUGUACCUGUGUUACUUCAAAAAGCUUAUCUUCCAGUUCAAAAAUUCUUUCUUCUGCUUGGUCUAAUCUGUUUUUGAAGCUGUUGUUUGUUUGUUUGUUUUGAGACAGGGUCUCACUUUGUUACCCAGGCUGCUAACGGUGGUGUGAUCUUGGCUCACUGCAGCCUCGACCUCUUAGGCUCAAGUGAUCCUGCCACCUCAGCCUCCCAAGUAGCUGGGACUACAGGCAUGCACCUGGCUAAGUUUUUUGUAUUUUUUAUAGAGACUGGGUUUCACUAUCUUGCCCAAACUGGUCUCAAACUCCUGACCUCAGGUGAUCUGCUCACCUUGGCCUCCCAAAGUGCUGGGAUUAUAGGUGUGAGCCAUCACACCUAGCCUCUUGAUUGUAUUUUUUAUUUAAUUCAUUCAAUUGUUCAGCUCUAAUAUUUUUAUUUGGUUCAUUUUUAUGAUAUCUAUCUCUUUGUUGAUUUUUUCAUUCAGAUUAUUAAUUGUUUUUCUGAUAUUAUUGAAUUCUGUAACUGUAUUCUCUUUUAUCUCACUGAGUUUCCUUAAAGCCACUAUUUUGAUUUUUGGUAUUUUAUAUAUGCUCUUUUGGGUCUAUUAUGGGAAAAUUAUUGUAUUCCUUCAGGGGUGCCAUGUUUACUUCCUUUUUCAUGUUUAUUUUGUCUCAAUAUUGAUAUCUGCACAUGUGGUGAAAGUUGCCUUUUCCAGUUUUAUAAGGUAGGUUUCUUAGGGAAAGACAUUUCCACAUUUGGGUCCUAAGAUGUUGGUUGUAUCAGGUUUGUGGCUUUGCUUUUAGAUCAAUGCAAUAAUGUGUUCUUCUUGCAGUUUCUUUACUUGUAAUUCCUGUUAGAAAUGUUUAUGAAUGC
rnacentral:lncRNA from 1 species